AGUGAACGCUGGCGGUAGGCCUAACACAUGCAAGUCGAACGGCAGCACAGUAAGAGCUUGCUCUUACGGGUGGCGAGUGGCGGACGGGUGAGGAAUACAUCGGAAUCUACUUUUUCGGGGGGGAUAACGUAGGGAAACUUACGCUAAUACCGCAUACGACCUACGGGUGAAAGCAGGGGAUCUUCGGACCUUGCGCGAUUGAAUGAGCCGAUGUCGGAUUAGCUAGUUGGCGGGGUAAAGGCCCACCAAGGCGACGAUCCGUAGCUGGUCUGGGAGGAUGAUCAGCCACACUGGAACUGAGCCACGGACCAGACUCCUACGGGAGGCAGCAGUGGGGAAUAUUGGACAAUGGGCGCAAGCCUGAUCCAGCCAUACCGCGUGGGUGAAGAAGGCCUUCGGGUUGUAAAGCCCUUUUGUUGGGAAAGAAAAGCAGCAGGUUAAUACCCCGCUGUUCUGACGGUACCCAAAGAAUAAGCACCGGCUAACUUCGUG
rnacentral:rRNA from 1 species